rnacentral:rRNA from 1 species
CCUACGGGGGGCAGCAGUGGGGAAUAUUGCACAAUGGGGGAAACCCUGAUCCAGCGACGCCGCGUGAGUGAAGAAGUAUUUCGGUACGUAAAGCUCUAUCAGCAGGGAAGAAAAUGACGGUACCUGACUAAGAAGCCCCGGCUAACUACGUGCCAGCAGCCGCGGUAAUACGUAGGGGGCAAGCGUUAUCCGGAUUUACUGGGUGUAAAGGGAGCGUAGACGGCAGCGCAAGUCUGGAGUGAAAUGCCGGGGCUCAACCCCGGAACUGCUCUGGAAACUGUGCAGCUGGAGUGCAGGAGAGGUAAGUGGAAUUCCUGGUGUAGCGGUGAAAUGCGUAGAUAUCAGGAGGAACACCAGCGGCGAAGGCGGCUUACUGGACUGUAACUGACGUUGAGGCUCGAAGGCGUGGGGAGCAAACAGGAUUAGAUACCCUUGUAGUC